rnacentral:rRNA from 1 species
AUGCUGGCCUUGAAAGAGAUUCUUAGGAAAUAUGAGGAAGCAUUCGGGCAACGCAUUAAUCUGCAGAAGUCGGCAAUAUUUUUUGGCAAAGGGAGUCAAGAGAAUGCAAAGGUACAACUAAAAAAUAUUUUGGGCGUGGAUAAUGAAGCACUCAGCGAAAGAUAUUUGGGCCUCCCAACACUAGUUGAUAGGUCCAAAGAAGGGACAUUCAAAUAUGUUAGUGAGUGUUUGAAAGGAAAAGUA